rnacentral:sRNA from 1 species
UUGUUAACAACAACAGAAAAAUACAAAAAUAAAAAAAUAAUAAAAUAAUAAUAAACGCGAAUUUCCGCCGUUGGUCGGCAAGAAUUAUUUUUGGCCAGGCAAACAAAAAAAAAAAGAAAAGAAAAGAAAAAUUGGUUAGCGAGCCGCCAAAAAGUUGUUAAGCAAAGGCGGCGCGUGUGCGUGUGUGUGUGUGCAUAUCCUUGUUGAUCCUUGCAAACGCAUAACUGUGAAAGGCAGCAACAAGCCGUAAAGUACGUCUCGGUGCGUGUGUGUAUGUGUGUGCCUCUCGCUCGCGCACUGCGUGUGUGUGUGUGUGCACAACUAAAAAGUUGCCAGCAACAACAGCGACAAAAAUAAUAAAAUAUAUGUAUAAAAGUGAAAGCGGAAACGGAAACGGAAGCAGCUAGGCAGCUGGUAGAGGAAACAGAAGCGAGUGGCAAAGCGGCAAAACGGCAAAAAGGCAAAAGGCAUAAAGCAAAAAAAAAAAAAUAAAAGAAGGCAACUGCCAUGCCAUGUGCUGCAGCUGCAUUCAUGUUUUGUUAGCACUUUGACCCAAAUCGUAGAAAGUGUGUAAGUGUAAGCGUAUGUGUGUGUGUGUGUAAUACAUGAGCGAUAAGCGGCAAGGUGUCAAUGCCGUGUGCGACAACAGCAGCAGCUAAAAAGUCGAGCAAGCACAACAACAACAACAACAACAACAACAACAGUGCAGGACGUAACACGCACAGGAUAACUGAGAAAGCUAAGCAUGCUAAGCAGAUAAACUGAUAGCUCUGUGCUCGACUUCUAGGACUUGAGUGCAUUUCAGCGGCAUCUGGAGCAGCAGCUGGAGUAACGGCAGUUGACAGACAACAACAGACUACAGUUAGCAGCUUCACACAUCUCAGUUCCUGGCUAUAAUAGACAGCAGCUUGUCUGUGUAUGUCAUAUGAGACCAGAUGGAUCAGUUCAAACUUAUUAAGAGAGCAGCGCAAAAUAACUGACAAUUCCCCAGAGUGAAGGAAAACGGAAAACGCAAAAGAAAAGGAAAUAUAUAUAAACAUACACAUACAUAUACAUAUAUAUAAAGUGUGUAAAGGACAUUACAUUAAAAGCGAUUCAUCAUCGACGUGACGUUGUGAUUGUGUCGUUUGUUGUUGCUGUUGGCCAAGAGCAAAAACACUAGCAGCAGCAGGAGCAGCAGCAGGAGCUGAAGCAGGA